rnacentral:rRNA from 1 species
AAUGUACGCUGGCGGCACGCCUAACACAUGCAAGUCGAGCGAGGUACUUGUACCUAGCGGCAGACGGGUGCGUAACAUGUGGGAAUCUGCCUUUUGGUUCGGAACAACACGGGGAAACUUGUGCUAAUACCGGAUAAGUCCUAACGGAGAAAGAUUUAUCGCCGAAAGAUGAGCCCGCACUAGAUUAGCUUGCUGGUAAGGUAAAAGCUUACCAAGGCUACGAUCUAUAGCUGAUUUGAGAGGAUGAUCAGCCACACUGGGACUGAGACACGGCCCAG